rnacentral:lncRNA from 7 species
UCCCUUGUUCUAGCAUCCUUAAGUCCUCCUGAUACUCCUCGACCAAUUGAAUUGGGUUCGGUUGCCUUAGAUCCCCGGGAAUACGUCUGUUCCCUUGAUUGCCGCGCUAUCUCCGUAGACUGGGUGAUUUAGAGCCUCAUUAGUGAAAUUGAGUGAGGGGAAUUGAUGAGGACGAGUUCAAUCUAGUGUCUGCCGCACGGGAGCGCCGGUCAUCGAGUAAACAGGCCGAUACAAGCUCACCGGAGCUCGAUUCUCCGCCCCGCGACGUCGGGGACUUCGGGUUGUGAAGGGAGAGAAGUGUAGGGGUUUAUUUGUAAGUGUCAGCGACUACCCCAAAUAGUGUCCUAGACUCUUUCGGGUUAUUCAAAAAGACAGGGGCUUCCAUGCAAAGUCUACAUGCGGGCGCGGGUGCGCCCGUUUCCGCCCGUAGUUGGGCCGACCUGGGCCAGAUUCGGUCCAAUACUAUUCACAAUUUUCCUUUUUCUUUUUCUGCCAAAACUAGAAAUUCUUGAAAAUUGUAGAAAAAUGAUAAAAAUACCAGACCAAUUUUGCUAGGUUUCUAAUUUCCUAUAGUAUUUAAUAGAAAUAGUUUUAUGAUUUUUAGUCCAAAUAGGGAAUUAUAGAGUAUCUAAAAUAGCCAAAAACCUUGCUUCUGGAUUUUUAGAGAAUAAAUAAUGUAAUACCCAUUUUGUAAAAGAAAUAA